GGAGGGUGCAAGCGUUGUCCGGAAUCACUGGGCGUAAAGGGCGCGUAGGCGGCUCGAUAAGUAGGAGGUGAAAUCCUGGGGCUUAACCUCAGGGCUGCCUUCUAGACUGUCCGGCUCGAGCACAGUAGAGGCAGGUGGAAUUCCCGGUGUAGCGGUGGAAUGCGUAGAGAUCGGGAAGAACAUCGGUGGCGAAGGCGGCCUGCUGGGCUGUUGCUGACACUGAGGCGCGACAGCGUGGGGAGCAAACAGGAUUAGAUACCCUGGUAGUCCACGCCGUAAACGAUGGGUACUAGGCGUCGGGGGGAGCGACCCCCUCGGUGCCGUCGCUAACGCAGUAAGUACCCCGCCUGGGGAGUACGGCCGCAAGGCUG
rnacentral:rRNA from 1 species